UGGGGAAUCUUAGACAAUGGGGGCAACCCUGAUCUAGCCAUGCCGCGUGAGUGAUGAAGGCCUUAGGGUUGUAAAGCUCUUUCAGCUGGGAAGAUAAUGACGGUACCAGCAGAAGAAGCCCCGGCUAACUCCGUGCCAGCAGCCGCGGUAAUACGGAGGGGGCUAGCGUUGUUCGGAAUUACUGGGCGUAAAGCGCACGUAGGCGGAUCGGAAAGUUGGGGGUGAAAUCCCGGGGCUCAACCUCGGAACUGCCUUCAAAACUACUGGUCUUGAGUUCGAGAGAGGUGAGUGGAAUUCCGAGUGUAGAGGUGAAAUUCGUAGAUAUUCGGAGGAACACCAGUGGCGAAGGCGGCUCACUGGCUCGAUACUGACGCUGAGGUGCGAAAGCGUGGGGAGCAAACAGG
rnacentral:rRNA from 1 species